rnacentral:rRNA from 1 species
AUUGAACGCUGGCGGCAGGCCUAACACAUGCAAGUCGAGCGGAUGAAGGGAGCUUGCUCCUGGAUUCAGCGGCGGACGGGUGAGUAAUUCCUAGGAAUCUGCCUGGUCGUGGGGGAUAACGUCCGGACACGGGCGCUAAUCCCGCAUCCGUCCUGAUGUGGAACGUGGUGGUUCUUCGGACCUCACUCUUUCUGCUAACCCUAGGUCGGAUUAGCUAGUUGGUGGGGUAAAGGCCUACCAAGGCGACGAUCCGUAACUGGUCUGAGAGGAUGAUCAGUCACACUGGAACUGAGACACGGUCCAGACUCCUACGGGAGGCAGCAGUGGGGAAUAUUGGACAAUGGGCGAAAGCCUGAUCCAGCAAUGCCGCGUGUGUGAAGAAGGUCUUCGGAUUGUAAAGCACUUUAAGUUGGGAGGAAGGGCAGUAAGUUAAUACCUUGCUGUUUUGACGUUACCAACAGAAUAAGCACCGGCUAACUUCGUG